rnacentral:misc_RNA from 1 species
GAAAUGCGAUACGUAAUGUGAAUUGCAAAUUCAGUGAAUCAUCGAGUCUUUGAACGCACAUUGCGCCCCCUGGUAUUCCGGGGGGCAUGCCUGUCCGAGCGUCAUUUCUGCCCUCAAGCACGGCUUGGGUGUUGGGCCCCGUCCUCCGAUCCCGGGGGACGGGCCCGAAAGGCAGCGGCGGCACCGCGUCCGGUCCUCGAGCGUAUGGGGCUUUGUCACCCGCUCUGUAGGCCCGGCCGGCGCUUGCCGAUCAACCCAAAUUUUUAUCCAGGUUGACCUCGGAUCAGGUAGGGAUACCCGCUGAACUUAAGC